GGUUUUGAUUGUAGGUGUGUCACCCAAGCAUCUAUCCUACAGGUGCGGGGGUUAUCAUUCAGGGGUUGAACUGCAUGUAGGAAGCUAUUUCUGGAUUUUAACCUCUUUGGUACCUGGACGUGUUGGAAGAGUGGGUGACGAGGGUCAUCCUCCUGCUUGGUGCGUUCCACUCUUGAGGAUACCGCUCUUCUGAUUUGAGGGGGUGCAAUACCACACAGCAGGAGGCAGCAUUGUAUCCCGGGUUAUCAUGCCGGUGCUAUCGUCACUUCUGCAACAUUACAACAAUAAAUCAAGCUAUAGCAAGGUCUCGAAGGAAGAAAGACGCUGAAAAGCCUAAAGCAGGUGAAUCGCCUCAAGAGGCAGUUCCUGAUGGCGAAGCAGAUGAGCCGGCCCCAAAGAGACUGCUUCGGUCCGUGACAAGUGACGGUCAACAAACAGCCACUCUCUCACUACAAAAGAUUUGGAAUCUGAUGAAGAAUAUUCAGACGAAGUGUAGAUGGAAUGUAAACCAAACGAUUGGGAAAAUAAAUGAUUAUAUAAAGUCUACUUUUAGUGUUUUACUGUUUAUUGUGUCUAAUUAUUUAAACAAUGAGUGAAUGGCUUAUGAUUAUGGCGUACUGGUGAAUAACAUGAUGUGCUGCUUUUGUGCUGGAUGCUAAAAAUGUGUGU